GAAAUACAAUCGAGUGUCACGCAGGGCGAAGCAGUGCAAGCUUUCAUUCAACCUGCCACCAAUUAUCCAGCGACUUAUCCAUUUAGCUGCACUUCUGCCACCACCUCCAGCUGUGCUGCCUGCAGUCACCCCUGCAGUCUUCAGCCUUUGCCACCUCCAUAAUUCUGCAGUAAGUCCUUUUUUAGCUUUGUGUAAGUCUGAGUGUUUCAUUUUCGGUCCAGAAAUUCUAUUUACUUCUAUGUAAAUUGGGUAUGUAAAUAUCUAAACAACAACAGCAGCUGCUGCAGUCCUUCAUAUCAGAAAUGACCGGCAGAUUAUUUUUAUUUUAAAAAACCAGAGAGAGGUUUCUGAAAAAUAAAUUACUGUGUCAUGCAAUUAAGUCUUUAAAGAAUGAUUAAUAACAACACCAGCUCGGAAAAUAAUUGAGUGAACUGCAGUCACCCCAAAAAUGCUUUGAAUAGACAGAACUGCUUGAUUACUGUAAGCUUCUAUCGCAACAACAUUAGACCGUGUAUAAAAAAGGAGCUAAUUGGUUUCUGAGCAUUUGAACCCUCACUAGUAAAAUUCUGGCCCUGCAGUUACCUACUAGCACUAACAAUCUGAGUGAACAAGACCUUUCCAUUCCACAUCUGUACAGCUGUGGCAUCCAAACACACCUUUUUGUAGUAAUUAGUGAUAAGAAAAACAAAAACACAAUUUUUCACUGAGGCAGAACCUUCCUGGAUGGGCUGUACCACACUACAAGCUGUAUCACAUGACCGAUAAUUCCAUUAAAAUUCUCCAAAAGUCGAGAAUCCCUCAGAGCGAGGUAGCAGGCAGGCAGGGAUGAGAUACAGCUGUGUCAGGUAAACAAAGCAGCCAAAACUUAACUUUAACUUUAUCCAAAUGCAUGAAUUAUGAAAUAACACAUGCCAUUAUAUACACUUGUUAUGAAACUAGAGGUCAAGCAUGCUGUGAACAUUUAAAUUUUCACCAAUUAAGUUGAGCAUUUGUGACUCUUUGGAGUUGAGAUACUUCAGCCAACCUCAAGUUGCCAUCAGCAGAACUGCAGCUGUGAUUUUGCCUUUCAGCUGCAGACUGAGUGUAAAUCCACAUAAUGUCUUUUGAGGCUUUCAGGUGUUUGACUGUGUUCAGCAACGUGCAAAUUAAUCAAGAAGCACACACACCAUAAGCCCUGACCUGUCACUGCUAGAUAACAUGCUGACAUUUCUUUACAGUAAACCAAAGGACAAACAAAGCACAUGCCACAGUGAUAACGAGGGGCUAAUGACUCUGAUUUGGAUCAUGUUGUAGGCCGACUAUAGUUGUUGGCAUUACUCCAAAAGUGAACCUACUGCGAACCUGCGUUCUGGCUGUCAGUGGUGGACAGGAUCCCCCUUCUCCUCUGAAGUUUGACUAUCAGCUGAACAGCCAAUCCUAUACAAAAUUAUAAAACAAGAGAAUCUUUUCAGUGUCGUGUCAGGAUUCAUAACGAAAAUGCCACCUGCAAGGACAAGGCUUGGAAGAAAAGUGAAGACACAGUGGUGACGUGGACAUUUCUUCUCAGCCACGUCUGCAGCUGUCAUUUUCAAGAAUAUCAACCUUUUAUAUAUGUGCGUAUGUGUGGGUGGAUGGGU
rnacentral:lncRNA from 1 species